UGGGUGAGUAACACGUGGAUAACCUACCUAUAAGACUGGGAUAACUUCGGGAAACCGGAGCUAAUACCGGAUAAUAUAUUGAACCGCAUGGUUCAAUAGUGAAAGACGGUUUUGCUGUCACUUAUAGAUGGAUCCGCGCCGCAUUAGCUAGUUGGUAAGGUAACGGCUUACCAAGGCAACGAUGCGUAGCCGACCUGAGAGGGUGAUCGGCCACACUGGAACUGAGACACGGUCCAG
rnacentral:rRNA from 1 species